GAUAGCAGUUUUUGCUAAAGUAUAAAAACUAGUGAAUUUGUACCCUGUGUACAGUAUUGCAGCAAACACUUUAAAUUGGGUUGGUUGGUUAGUCCAGCAAACUUUCUGGGUUCAUAUAUUGCACUAAAAUUCUGUUGAACCUGUGGCAGGCACAUUCCUUAGGAUAAAUGCAACAAAUACAGCCCACAGAUUAAAAUUAAAAAAAAAAGGCAAAACAAAAAAAAAAGAAGUUUUUAAUGUGUUUCAUUAUUAAAAGGCAAAAUGUCAUUAAAAGUGACAGGUGAAAUUGUCUUAUGUAGCAAUGUGCAUUGAUCUCAAUGAGAUAUUUCUAUUAUUCUCUUACAUGAGAAUAUUACAGCAGGAAAAAUUAAGUUUAGUUUGCUUCACCAUGUUAAUACAUGAUCACAAAACGUGCAUGAGUGUUAAUGACUUAAUCUUGUACAGUACUAGAUAUAUUCCUGUAACCACUUUUUUUUUUUUUAUUCUUUUGCUGUAUUGAACUGGUUCAGUGUUAACCAGGUGAGCAUAGUUAUUCACAAGUUAUUUACUUUUUUAUGUUAACUACUUCAGCUUAGUUCUUGUUGAAUAUGUUCCUUUCUUGGAUUAUUUUUUAUUGUUCUGGUGUUGAAAAACAUUUUUGCAUCAUUUUAUCAUGAUAAGAAUUCAUGAAGUAAAUAAUUUGCAAAUAAUUGCAAUAAGCACUGACUUCUGAACUGAAAAGAAGGAAAGCGUUUCUUGUGCAGUGCAUCUGAGGUUCAUAUAAUAGUCUUGUACUAUACUGUGCUUUAUUUACUGCACCGUAAGGAAAGAAAAAUCCCUGUUCCACGUUUUCAUUUAGUGCAGGAAAUCCAGUUUCUUCCCUCUUUCCCCAGUGUUUUGUUGUCUGUUGUACUGCUGAAACUACAGUAGUUGAAUAUUGCAGUAGCAUUUCAGUUAUUUUUUUUAUUGAAAGUGCUCAAAAAUUGUUUUUUAAAUGUUUUCAAAAACAAUAAAAACAUUUUAUA
rnacentral:lncRNA from 1 species